rnacentral:rRNA from 1 species
UACGGAGGGGGCUAGCGUUAUUCGGAUUCACUGGGUUUAAAGGGUGCGUAGGUGGGUUGGUAAGUCAGUGGUGAAAUCCCCGAGCUUAACUUGGGAACUGCCAUUGAUACUAUCAGUCUUGAAUACCGUGGAGGUCAGCGGAAUAUGUCAUGUAGCGGUGAAAUGCUUAGAUAUGACAUAGAACACCAAUUGCGAAGGCAGCUGGCUACUCGGAUAUUGACACUGAGGCACGAAAGCGUGGGGAUCAAACAGG